GCAUAUCAAUAAGCGGAGGAAAAGAAACUAACAAGGAUUCCCCUAGUAGCGGCGAGCGAAGCGGGAAGAGCUCAAAUUUAUAAUCUGGCACCUUCGGUGUCCGAGUUGUAAUCUCUAGAAGUGUUUUCCGCGUUGGACCGCACACAAGUCUGUUGGAAUACAGCGGCACAGUGGUGAUACCCCCGUACACGGUGCGGACGCCCAGCGCUUUGUGAUACACUUUCAAUGAGUCGAGUUGUUUGGGAAUGCAGCUCAAAUUGGGUGGUAAAUUCCAUCUAAAGCUAAAUAUUGGCGAGAGACCGAUAGCGAACAAGUACCGUGAGGGAAAGAUGAAAAGCACUUUGGAAAGAGAGUUAACAGUACGUGAAAUUGUUGGAAGGGAAACGCUUGAAGUCAGACUUGCUUGCCGGAGCUUGCUUCGGUUUGCAGGCCAGCAUCAGUUUUCCGGGGUGGAUAAUGGUGGUUCGAAGGUAGCAGCCUCGGCUGUGUUAUAGCUUUCCACUGGAUACAUCCUGGGGGACUGAGGAACGCAGCGUGCUUUUUGCGAAGGUUUCG
rnacentral:rRNA from 1 species